rfam:Cucumis melo, WGS project CAJI01000000 data, contig: 09177
CCAACAGAAUUUAUUGGCAUUCUGUCCACCUCCUCCACAUAUUAAUUUAUAUUUAUAUUAUAUAUAUACUUUAAUUUCUGUGUGUUUAUCGUUAUAAUUAAUUAUAAAUUAAAUUGAUUCAUUUGUUUGGUUUGGAGGUGGGCAUACUGCCAAUUGAGUUCUCUUUG